AAAUGAGCAUCACAGAAUCAUAGAAUAUCCUAGUUGGAAGGGAUCCGCAAGGAUUAUCGAGUCCAAUUUCUGGGUCCACACAGAACCACCCAAAAAUUCAGACCAUGUGUCUGAGAGCAUUGUCCAAAAUUCUUGAACUCCUGCAGGCUUG